rnacentral:rRNA from 1 species
UACGUAGGGCGCAAGCGUUAUCCGGAAUUAUUGGGCGUAAAGAGCUCGUAGGCGGUUUGUCGCGUCUGCCGUGAAAGUCCGGGGCUCAACUCCGGAUCUGCGGUGGGUACGGGCAGACUAGAGUGCAGUAGGGGAGACUGGAAUUCCUGGUGUAGCGGUGAAGUGCGCAGAUAUCAGGAGGAACACCGAUGGCGAAGGCAGGUCUCUGGGCUGUAACUGACGCUGAGGAGCGAAAGCAUGGGGAGCGAACAGG